rnacentral:ncRNA from 1 species
ACUCUAAUCUGGCAGUGUAGGGAGACAUAAGAGAUGUGAAAUAAGUGGGAGAUAUUGUUCUUUCGGGUUCAUUAUCAAUGAACCGGGUUCGGGUAUCGGGUAUCGGGUUCAUGGUCAAUGAAAUACCACUACUCUUAUUGUUUCCUUACUUACUUGAUUAAAUGAAACGUGUAUCAUUACUUAGCCAUUAUGCGGACAUAUUUAUAUAUCUUAUGGUAUUGGGGCCUUAUGCAAGCCUCUUGAUCAAAGCAUUAAAGAGUUUGUAAAAAAAUUUUAAUGAGAUUGUUUGGCAUUUCGCUGCUUCGUCAAUCAAUAUUCAAAAUUUGAUCCAAUUCAAGGACAUUGCCAGGUAGGGAGUUUGACUGGGGCGGUACAUCUCUCAAAUAAUAACGGGGGUGUCCCAAGGCUAGUUCAGUGCAGACAGAAACCACACAUUAGAGUUAAAUUGGCCUAAGUCUAUAUAUGGAAUGAUUAUAAAUAUAUUUGUACAUUUUCCAUAUCACUUCAAUUCUCAUUCAUAAG